UAAAGCUACAAAGAGCUAAUGGUGGAUGCCUUGGUACUGCCGACCGAAGAAGGACGUGUAUAUCUGCGAUAAGCCUCGGGGAGUUGAUAAAAUGCCUUGAUCCGAGGAAUUCCGAAUGGGGAAACCCUUACAAGUUAAAACUUGUAAAUCCUUGAAUGAAUCAAUAGUUCAAGAGAAGGACAGUCCGUGAACUGAAACAUCUUAGUAACGGGACGAAAAGAAAAUAAACCAAUGAUUCCGAAAGUAGCGGCGAGCGAAAUCGGAAGAGCCUAAACCUUUUGUACGGAAUAGACGGUAAUCGUUGUGCAAAGGGUGUUGUGGGAGCUUCAAAACAUUUUACCGAAUGUUGAAAGAGUUACAAAGUUUUUUAAUAGAUGAACAUAUUUGGAAAGAUAGACCAUAGACGGUGAUAGUCCGGUAAUUGAAAUUAAAAGACCUCUUGAAGAAUUCCCGAGUAAGGCGGGGCACGUGAAACCCUGUCUGAAUCCUCCGCGCCCAUGCGGAAAGGCUAAAUAUCGCGCAGUAACCGAUAGUGAACCAGUACAGUGAUGGAAAGGCGAAAAGAACAGUGAGAAGCUGAGUGAAAUAGAACCUAAAACCGUUUGCUUACAAUCGGCUGGAGCCCUAUUAAUAGGGUGACAGCGUUCCUGUUGAAGAAUGAGCCGGCGAGUUAAUUUAUGUAGCGAGGUUAAGUGGAUAAUACACGGAGCCGUAGCGAAAGCGAGUCUGAAAAGGGCGAUAUAGUUACAUGAAUUAGACCCGAACCUUGGCGAUCUAACCUUGACCAGAAUGAAGCGUAGGUGAUACUACGUGGAGGUUCGAACGUACUGAUGUUGAAAAAUCAGACGAUGAGUUGAGGUUAGGGGUGAAAUGCCAAUCGAGCCAAGAGCUAGCUGGUUCUCCCCGAAAUGCGUUUAGGCACAGCGUCAGAUUUAUCUUAACGGAGGUAGAGCACUGGUUUUGUGCGGGCCGAGAAUCUCGGUACCAAACAAUGUCAAACUCCGAAUGCCGUUAACGUAAGUAUCUGGCAGUGAGACUGCGAGUGAUAAGAUCCGUGGUCAAAAGGGAAACAGCCCAGAACACCGAUUAAGGUCCCAAAUUAUAUGCUAAGUGACUAAGGAGGUAAAGUUGCAUUGACAACCAGGAGGUUGGCUUAGAAGCAGCCAUCCCUUGAAAGAGUGCGUAAUAGCUCACUGGUCAAGCGACUUCGCGCCGAAAAUACGACGGGGCUAAGCAUAUAACCGAAAUCGUGUCAUAUGACUUGUCAUAUGGGUAGGGGAGCGUUCUGCUGUAGGUUGAAGUCAGACUGUAAAGACUGAUGGACGAAACAGAAGUGAGAAUGUCGGCAUGAGUAGCGAAAACAUUGGUGAGAAUCCAAUGCACCGUAAACCUAAGGUUUCCCCCGGCAGGCUCGUCCGCGGGGGGUUAGUCGGACCCUAAGCCGAGGCUGAACAGCGUAGGCGAUGGACAAUCGGUUGAUAUUCCGAUACUAUCUGAUAAUCGUUAUCAGAAGCGGAGGGACGCAGGAGGAUAGACAUGCAGGCGACUGGAAGAGCCUGUUUAAGCGUGUAGUUAGUUCUGAUAGGAAAAUCCGUCAGAGCGUUAAGACAUGAGGCGUUAUGAGGAGAGUCUACGGACUCGAAGAUGUUGAAUCCACACUGCCGAGAAAAUCUUCGCUAUCGAGAUUAUCGGGUAUCCGUACCGUAAACCGCCACAGGUAGGUUGGUAGAGAAUACCAAGGUGCGCGAGACAACUCUCGCUAAGGAACUCGGCAAAAUCACCUCGUAACUUCGGGAGAAGAGGUACCCCGGUAGUGUAAAGUCCCACGCGGAUGUAGCAUGAUGGGGUCGCAGUGAAUAGGCCCAAGCGACUGUUUACCAAAAACACAGGUCUCUGCUAAGUCGAAAGACGACGUAUAGGGGCUGACGCCUGCCCGGUGCCGGAAGGUUAAGAGGAGAGCUUAGCGCAAGCGAAGGUUUGAAUUGAAGCCCCGGUAAACGGCGGCCGUAACUAUAACGGUCCUAAGGUAGCGAAAUUCCUUGUCAGGUAAGUUCUGACCCGCACGAAUGGCGUAACGAUUUGGGCGCUGUCUCAACAUGGGACCCGGCGAAAUUGUAGUAUACGUGAAGAUGCGUAUUACCCGCGACUGGACGGAAAGACCCCGUAGAGCUUUACUGUAGUCUGAUAUUGGAUUUCGGUGAUUUAUGUACAGGAUAGGUGGGAGACUUUGAAGCAUAGGCGUCAGCUUAUGUGGAGUCAACCUUGGGAUACCACCCUUAAAUUAUUGAGGUUCUAACUUUGUGCCGUAAUCCGGGCAGAGAACAGUGUCAGAUGGGCAGUUUGACUGGGGCGGUCGCCUCCUAAAAUGUAACGGAGGCGUCCAAAGGUUCCCUCAGGAUGGUUGGAAAUCAUCCAAAGAGUAUAAAGGCAGAAGGGAGCUUAACUGCGAGACAGACAUGUCGAGCAGAUACGAAAGUAGGGCUUAGUGAUCCGGCGGUAGAGUAUGGAAUUGCCGUCGCUUAACGGAUAAAAGUUACCUCGGGGAUAACAGGCUUAUCUCCCCCAAGAGUUCACAUCGACGGGGAGGUUUGGCACCUCGAUGUCGGCUCA
rnacentral:rRNA from 1 species